rnacentral:misc_RNA from 1 species
GAUGAAGAACGUAGCGAAAUGCGAUGAGUAAUGUGAAUUGCAGAAUUCAGUGAAUCAUCGAAUCUUUGAACGCACAUUGCGCCCGCCAGUAUUCUGGCGGGCAUGCCUGUUCGAGCGUCAUUUCAACCAUCAAGCCCCCGGCUUGUGUUGGGGACCUGCGGCUGCCGCAGGCCCUGAAAACCAGUGGCGGGCUCGCUAGUCACUCCGAGCGUAGUAAUACAUCUCGCUCAGGGCGUGCUGCGGGUUCCGGCCGUUAAAAAGCCUUAUUUACCCAAGGUUGACCUCGGAUCAGGUAGGAAGACCCGCUGAACUUAAGCAUAUCAAUAAGCGGAGGA